CGGGCGCUGCACAACGUCACGGCCGAGCUCUUUGGGGCCGAGGCCUGGGGCACCCUUGCGGCUUUCGGGGACCUCAACUCCGACAAGCAGACGGAUCUCUUCGUGCUGCGGGAAAGAAAUGACUUAAUCGUCUUUUUGGCAGACCAGAAUGCACCCUAUUUUAAACCCAAAGUAAAGGUAUCUUUCAAGAAUCACAGUGCAUUGAUAACAAGUGUAGUCCCUGGGGAUUAUGAUGGAGAUUCUCAAAUGGAUGUCCUUCUGACAUAUCUUCCCAAAAAUUAUGCCAAGAGUGAAUUAGGAGCUGUUAUCUUCUGGGGACAAAAUCAAACAUUAGAUCCUAACAAUAUGACCAUACUCAAUAGGACUUUUCAAGAUGAGCCACUAAUUAUGGAUUUCAAUGGUGAUCUAAUUCCUGAUAUUUUUGGUAUCACAAAUGAAUCCAACCAGCCACAGAUACUAUUAGGAGGGAGAUGGACUCUCACUCUGUCACCC
rnacentral:lncRNA from 1 species